GACGAACCGUGCGAACGUUGUUCGGAAUCACUGGGCUUAAAGGGCGCGUAGGCGGGCAUUCAAGUCAGGGGUGAAAUCCUCCGGCUCAACUGGAGAAGUGCCUUUGAUACUGGCGAGCUCGAGGGAGGUAGGGGUGUGUGGAACUUCUGGUGGAGCGGUGAAAUGCGUUGAUAUCAGAAGGAACGCCGGUGGCGAAAGCGACGCACUGGACCUCUUCUGACGCUGAGGCGCGAAAGCUAGGGGAGCAAACGGG
rnacentral:rRNA from 1 species